rnacentral:rRNA from 1 species
AUACGGAGGCUGCAAGCGUUACUCGGAAUCACUGGGCGUAAAGCGUACGUAGGCGGUUAUUUAAGUCAGAUGUGAAAGCCCCGGGCUUAACUUGGGAACUGCAUUUGAAACUGGGUAACUAGAGUUUAGUAGAGGGGAGUGGAAUUUCAGGUGUAGCGGUGAAAUGCGUAGAGAUCUGAAGGAACACCAGUGGCGAAGGCGGCUUCCUGGCCUAAAACUGACGCUGAGGUGCGAAAGCGUGGGUAGCAAACGGGAUUAGAUACCCCAGUAGUCC